rnacentral:rRNA from 1 species
AGCGAACGCUGGCGGCAGGCCUAACACAUGCAAGUCGAGCGAGGACUUCGGUCCUAGCGGCGGACGGGUGAGUAACGCGUGGGAACGUGCCCUUUGCUUCGGAAUAGCCCUGGGAAACUGGGAGUAAUACCGGAUGAGCCCUUUGGGGGAAAGAUUUAUCGGCGAAGGAUCGGCCCGCGUUGGAUUAGGUAGUUGGUGGGGUAAUGGCCUACCAAGCCGACGAUCCAUAGCUGGUUUGAGAGGAUGAUCAGCCACACUGGGACUGAGACACGGCCCAGACUCCUACGGGAGGCAGCAGUGGGGAAUCUUAGACAAUGGGGGAAACCCUGAUCUAGCCAUGCCGCGUGAGCGAUGAAGGCCUUAGGGUUGUAAAGCUCUUUCAGCUGGGAAGAUAAUGACGGUACCAGCAGAAGAAGCCCCGGCUAACUCCGU